ACACACACACGUAAUUUGAUUUAGCUAAUUUAUUGUGUUUGGCGCCGGAAUCUCUGACUUUCCCUGAACGCCUCAAUAAAAUCUGCGCAGCUCCGCACUCAGCAGCACAGCGUCGUCAUUGUGUUCUAGAAGCUUCUGAGAACAUCGAUACUGCUGUGCGCUUUUGAUUGUGUUGGUUACCUCCGUGGCAACUGGACCGGCCGCUGGCCUCCAGCUCCUCUCCUCUCUCUAUCCCAUUUGAGAUCAUUCACCUCUCUCCUAUCAUUCUACCCACUCAUCCCUUAAUAUAAGACGUUCUAUCUCUCCUGUCAAUCUAAUACAUCUAUCUAAUUUUGAGGUUUUCUAUCUCUCCUGUCAUAUCUAAUAUAUCUAUCUAAAUUUUGGAAAUUCUAUCAUUCUAUCCCUCUAAUUCUAUCUCGCUCUAUCUCCUUGCAUUCUUGCAAGAAACCAAUAUUUUGGAACGAUAUAUUUGAACCAAUAUUUUGGAACGAUAUAUUUGAACCUUGUCUUUUGGAACGAUAUAUUUCAUCCUUGUCUUUUGGAACCUGAUGUAACAGAUUACUGGUAUCUGUUUUGGAUUCAUGGGUUGAUUGGAACCUGAUCAUUCUGUUUUAUGGAUCUGUGAGUUUCUCUGCUCACACUUUUUCUACCUCUCCUGUCUCUCUCUCACACACACACAUUUGAUUUGGCCUUUUCAAUUGGCAAAACCUUAUUAUUGUAUUUUUUGAAUUGUCCAUAUUGUAUCAAUAUUCUAUUUGGUAAUAGUCAUAAUUAAAUAAAUGAUUAAGUAUUUUUGUUCAUUAAAUUUAAAUUAAUUGAAAAGACUGGAAACACAUAAAUAACACAUUUUGUUUAGCUUUUUAUCACAAACAUUGGACUGUAAAAACUAAUUCAAAAUUAAAUUGGUACAUUUCCAAAUAUAUAAGUUGCUGUUAUAAAGUGUAUCAUUGAAGAAAACGGUCUCUUGUUAAUGUACAUAAUAAAUUGAAGUCCAAAUCUAUAUUUAUACAAGAAAAGAGCUGUAGUUGUUCCUGGACCGUGUUGCUGUGGAUCUCUGUACCAAAAGGUUUGUUUUGACUGCAAAUAUAUUCAUACCAGAGUACACAUAAUCAGUAUUUGUUUGUACAAGUGUAAAAGUAAUUACAUUAUUACUUACAUUAUACAUUGUGUUAUUUGUCUCUCAUUCACAUAUUUGUACCUCGUCUAUAGAUCCACCCACAUUGUUGGCAUCAGCACCUUUUGUACAUGCUUUAUUGUUGGUUAAACCUUUAUAUAGUAAAAUAAAUAUACCAACUGUAAGGGGAAA